UCCUGGGUCUAUUUAAGCUUCCCAUAUGGCUAUUAUUAGGCCUCCCAGGCUGAGUCAGCUGGGGGCUGUGUCUGCCGUGCAGAGAGGACAGUAGACUGGAGCAGGUGUGCUGCGUCUGCAGUGAAGUGGGUGCGAGUUUCCCAGGCUGGGUAACUUGAGAUGUCUGCCUUUACUCUGUGCUGAGGUAUCAGCUGGGGUCGGGUUCCUCUGUAAUUCCACUCCGUCCCCCUUGUGCCCAGAUCAGACUCAGCCCAGAAUGACAGGGCUUUUCACUCGUAGCCCAGCACCUGCUUGAGAGAGGGGCGCCCCCCACGACCAGAGUGUCAUCCCUGCUUCCUGCAGUGCUCUGCCUGGUGCUGACUGUCUAAUAAGAAAUAGAGUCUCGUCAGUGUAAGACCAAGGCCAAUCUGGGGGAGAAAGCUGUUUUGAUCAGAAAGUUGGGAGAAUCGCUAAGCUUUCACUCUGGCCACAUUUUUGGAAGAGUUUGCUCUGACUUCUUAGUGAUGAAGAGUCAUGCUGGGGGAUCCUUUGGGUGCUGCUGCCUCCAUGUUCCCUUGUUGAUGUUUUCCGGGUGAGACCCCUGAAGCUGCAGAUGGGUGGUCUCUGCCACAGGUUUUUGGAGGUCGCGGUGCUCUGGAUUGGCUGUUAACUGUGGGCAUUGGAUGCAGCCUGGGAGGGAGAGAAAGUAACAGCUCCAGACUGGAAAGUAAAACCUGCUUUGCUCCCCGGCUGUGGAAGAACGCGCUCCCUGAGCUGCCUGCAGAGUUGUCAGAAGUGGUGAUGACCCUGUGGGGGUUGGACCCUAAGCUGCCGCUGAAGUUCCAGAUAAACAAGUGGGAGAGGAGUUGGUAGUGGGCCGGCAGGCCCCUUGCUUUAUUGUAGGAGGGAGCCAAGGUGGGGGUGACCCCCUAAGUAGGAACUAGGCUUUGGACGAGCCGCCUCCUCGCCUGGCAUUGGGUCAUGCGUCAGUCAUCUGUCCUGUGUCCUCAGUGUGCACAGAGAGGUCCAUGACCACUCUCCAUUCUGCCGAGGGAGCCUGGUGCCUUCCUCUAAGGGUCGGGCCUGGGCAACUAGAGCAGCACGGGGCCACUCAGGGCUCGGGGUGUAAAUAUUUUUAGCUUCCUGGCCACCACAGGGUCUCGGGUGGCUCCUGAACUAGCUGUAGUGUCUUGACACAAAGUUAGGCAUCGAUUUUCUGUAAACGAACAACUGUUCAGAAACAUAUGUAUGUUCCAGAAAGCUUUAUUUACAAAGAAUCUCGGUGCUGGAGGUGGGCAUGGGCCAUGGCUUGCUGACCACACAGCGCAAAGCUCGGGGUGGACUGCUCAGUCAGCAUGUGGGCUUGGGAAGUCACCAGACCCACUUCCCUGACUGGGGUCUGAUGAGGCGGUGGCAGGCCCCACUGCACACCUGGGCGGGCUGGAUGUGUGGCAGGUGUUGACCCUGAACGUGGGGUGUGCCUGAAGCAUGUCAUCCGUGUUCCAGUUUGUGCCCUGAUUCCUGGGUCACGUGCUUUGACAGUGUCCCACCUGAAGAGGGUGAUCACUGCCAGCAGUCUUCCUGGAAGUGGGCUUAGGAGUCGUUGGCAGGCUGCUGGCUCUGUGGUUCUGGUUGGGGGCUGGCCUCCUGUUUCUUCAUGCUCAGGCACCUCAGAAGGCUCUCUAUGGCUGGGGUUCUUGGGAGACUUCUGGGGAGCCUGGUGUGGAGAGGGUUCAGGAACACCUGACUAGGGGGCCCUGGUGUUGCGAUGCCUCCUGGAGUUACCUCCCUCUGGGCCGGCUUCCACGUUGAGUGAUUUUGUUUGCACCACCCACACUGAGCAGAAGUGCAGGCUGCCUCAGGGUUGGGGGGCGGGUCCAGUUUGGCAAUGCUGGUGGCGUCUGAUGCUUCACUUUUGCCCCUGUUCCAGUCAGCUGUCGGCCAUGAACACCAGUCAAAGCUCUCCAAGCACUGCUUUCAGGUUGACUCCGUCUGGGGGUUUGGAGGCAAAUUUGGUGUCCAGAUGGACAGGAGGACCCUCUUACAGGACUUUCAAGGUCUUCCCACGUGGAGGAAACUUGGAUGAGCAUGAUACGACUUGGUGUGACCUGGCGGAUGUACGGACUCUUAAACCCUGAGAGCCCAGGGUCUACAGCUCCUGAAAAGGAAUCUGCUGAAGAGGACAGGCCUGACAAGUCAAAUGAGGGAAAAACAAUGCAGCCUGGGGGCUAAGCCUUUUCUCUUUCACUUUCUUGACAUUUAUAUUUACAUUUCUUUUAAUACAUUUUCAAAAAC